CUCAGGAUGGCCGUCUGGUCUAAGGCGCCAGACUCAAGUUUCUGGUCCUCGAUUGAGGGCGUGGGUUCAAAUCCCACUUCUGACA
rnacentral:tRNA from 1 species